rnacentral:rRNA from 1 species
UACGUAGGGUGCGAGCGUUAAUCGGAAUUACUGGGCGUAAAGCGUGCGCAGGCGGUUUUGUAAGCCAGAUGUGAAAUCCCCGGGCUCAACCUGGGAAUGGCAUUUGGGACUGCAAGGCUGGAGUGCGGCAGAGGAGACUGGAAUUCCUGGUGUAGCAGUGAAAUGCGUAGAUAUCAGGAGGAAUACCGAUGGCGAAGGCAGGUCUCUGGGCUGACACUGACGUCGAUGCCACGAAAGCGUGGGGAGCGAA